UACAGAGGGUGCGAGCGUUAAUCGGAGUUACUGGGCGUAAAGGGCGCGUAGGUGGUUGUGUGAGUGUGAUGUGAAAGCCCCGGGCUUAACCUGGGAGGUGCAUCGCAAACGACAUAACUGGAGUAUAUGAGAGGGUAGCGGAAUUUCCGGUGUAGCGGUGAAAUGCGUAGAGAUCGGAAGGAACGUCAAUGGCGAAGGCAGCUACCUGGCAUAAUACUGACACUGAGGCGCGAAAGCGUGGGGAUCGAACAGG
rnacentral:rRNA from 1 species